rnacentral:lncRNA from 1 species
CAGGCCUUGCACCUGGAUCAUUGGGCUGCCCUAAUCAAGGAUAUCAAAAACGAAGGGGCAGCUAAAGAAAAAUAAAAGACACCUCAGAAAGUAGCCUGCCUCUUUGACAAGGGACAUGCCUUCAGAGGAACAUAACGGAAACCUCUGAGAAUUGUCAACAAUAAAAAGACUGAGCAACAGGGGAAACUGGUAGGAAGCCAAAGGUUUUAAGAGGUGAGAGUGGAGAAAUGCUGUGCUUUUAUUGAUCCUCUCCAAAGGAACAACCUUAAAAAAGGUAUUUACAAGGGUCUUUUAAAGUGGAAGAGGGAAGUACAAGAGGGAGGAUGAGACAGAUGGCAACAUGAGAAGGAUUUGGCUCAAUGUCGCUGGCUUCAAAGAUGGAGUAAGGAGGAAGGAAGUUAAGAAAUGUGGGCAGCUCCUACAAACUAGAAAAAGCAAGGAAAUGGAUUUGGUGCUGGAGUCUCCAAAAGGAAUGCAGCUAACACCCUAGUUUUACCCGAGUGAGAGCUGUUUCAGCCUUUUGAUCUGCAGAACUGUAAGAUAAUAAAUUUUUAAUGUUUAAGCCACUAAGUUUUUGUUAAUUUGAUAUGAUAGAAAUUGGCACUAAUCCUCAUAAGAGAAGAAUGUCAGCCAAGCCAGUGAAGGAAUUUUGGAGUUCGCUUUGAAGACUUAUGCACUCUCCAGCUGGUCACAGACACUACACUCACCCAUUUUGUAAAUACACCUUUUUGUUGUUGUUGUUUUUUAAGCUUCUCACCUCAGUAUCUACCAGACAGGCUUGUGCAAGGAGUGAACUAGUAUUGUAUCUGUUAAUUUCUUUGCAGGCAAAAAUCAAGUUACCAGGAAAAUAUUUUUUAAAAACCACAAAUAGUCUAAGAGCACUGAACAUUUUGAAUCAUUUGCCUUUUCUCAACACUGGAUUUUAAGCAAGGAACAAGACUAUUCCAGUUCUAAAUGCUUUAAUGAACAAGGGGUAUUGGGUUUUAGCAUCAACAUGAUCUAUCCUCACUCUGAAGCUUUAACUUGAGUAGCUGCUUUGCUUUGUAAAGCUUCAAUCCAAUUCAUGUGAUAAUUACAAUUACCAAAUCUGGGCAUUGCUGACUACACAGUUCAAAAAAACAGCAUGGAGGGAAGACCUGCUGAGAACCUUAGAAUCUAUCAAUAAGCUCUUGAAAUGGUUUAAAGUAAUAAACCACUUCAAU